rfam:Gossypium hirsutum cultivar TM-1 chromosome 9, whole genome shotgun sequence
UGUUAAAAAUUUCAUCCAUUUGUACUGUUAAAAACUGCCAUGGCUGACGGAAUAACCAGACAGUGACAUAUGGUGUGCCACGUGUACCUCACACUAAUGUACAUCAGUUUUUAACAGUAGAAUGGAUGAAAUUUUUAACA